GGUAAAACAAGUUAUUUUUCCAUUAAUAGGAGGUCGAGGACUCUGACCAUGAGAAGCCAAUCUAAUGGGUAAGUUUCAGGGCAGCCCCAGGCUGGCAGGAGAGUUGGAAAGUGCCUAAGGAGAAACCAAGGCAGGACUUUGGCCAGCCUGGACAGGUAGCAGACUGGCCCUGGAUCAUGUCUGAAAAUAUUGGAGAGGAGUUAAAAAGCUGGUUGACACGAUGCUUAGUGGGGUGGUGGUAGGGAUCUUACUGGCUGAGGGUGGACAAAAGCACAGCAGAGAGCUGUCCUGCUCUGAAAGCCAGUGGAACCCCGCCUGAGGAACAAAGCUGGGAAGACAGAGCUAAGAAGCUGGCCUCACUCUGGGCCCCCUGCCUCCUUUCUGGUGGGAGACCUGGGGGACAGUGAGUGUGUGUCGGGGGGUGUGGGUCAGACCAGAUCAACGGGAGGAGUGCCCUUGUCUGUACAUAGAGAACGUGGGGGUGUGUUUGUGGGCCCGUGAAGGGUGACGUGGGUACUUGGGUGGCCGUAACUUGCUAUUGUCUCAUAGGCACCUCCUGCUUCCUGCAAAACCAGCGUACAGAAAAGGGAUAGCUUGGGAGUGCAUCGUGAGGACGAUUCCUUUUAAAAGGAAUUUAUUG
rnacentral:lncRNA from 1 species